CGACCGGUUCCAUCUGGCUCGGGCCACUCUGACACCUUUAGUUUCGGCAAGGGAUAUUGGGGUGGCGAAGGGGAGGCGGGGGCCCGAAGGCUUCGGAAAACGAUGGGGGAGGGGGCAGAGGAUACCCGUCGAAGCCCCCCCCUCCCCCAACAUUUCGAUAUUGGAAUCACUUUCCUUCUUCCUCGGGCCAGCCUUUGCUCUGUCCCCUCAGGUCAACUCAAGGUAGACAGUGUGGCGACUGGAGAGGUCGGGGAACAAGCUUUGUUUCAGCUAAGGGGAAAACAAGCGUUCACAGGAGUCCCCUGACACCUCCCACUCGGAAGAUAGCUAACGGGGGUCCUGCCAACCCUUCCCAUCCAACUUCCAUCUGAAAAGGAUUUUCUGCUAAAGUUGGGUCCAUGGCCAUCCAGCACCUGUAAGGCCGGCAGGAGCGUCUGCCCUCUACUCAGUUAAAGCCUGAAGUCGUUUCCUUUCGAUGGCCCUUAGGAGGCCCAAAAGAGGGGCGACAGAACAUGAUGUUGACACGGGCUGGGCGCCCCCAGAAGCCCGGGAACAAACGUUUCUACUUUCCAGGUCCACUGGUGUUUGGUGUACCCAUGUGACUAAUUUGUCCAAAGAGAGAUUUCUGUGAAUAGACCAGAAGCCGACCUUUACAGUGUGUUUGGGUGCAGCCCACGUUGGAGCUCUCUGCUAACAGAGACCAAUGCUGUCACAGAGAACAAAGAAGAGCAGGAAUGAUGGAAUGGUUCUGGUGUCUUCUGCCUUAGGGGCUGCCUCUCAUGACAAGCUGCAACACUCAGACUCACCUGUUUUUACUCCCCAUUCCCUCAGGAGUGGUUGCUGUUGUUACAAUCUGGAGGCUCUUGCAGAGCUCUCUGUUCUAUGCCAUUGAUAUGGUUUGGCUGUGUCCCCACCCAAAAUCUCAUAUUGAAUUGUAAUCCUCAUAAUCCCCAUAAUCCCCACGUGUCUAGGGAGAGACCAGGUGGAGGUAAUUGAAUCAUGGGGGCAGGUUUCUCCCAUACCAUUCUUGUGAUAGUGAAUUCUCAUGAGAGCUGAUGGUUUUAUACGUGUUUGGUAGUUCCUCCUGCAUUCAUUCUUCUCCCUGCUGCCUUGUGAGGAAGGUGCCUUUCUUCCCCUUCAUGUUCUGCCAUGAUUGUAAGUUUCCUGAGGCUUCCCCAGCCAUGCUGAACUGUAGUCAAUUUAACCUCUUUCCUUUAUAAAUUACCCAGUUUUGGGUAGUUCUUUAUAGCAGUGUGAAAACGAACUAAUACAGCCCUAUACUCUGAUAUCAUUUCAAUAAUUUUAUUCUCUGCCCUAAGUAACCAAUUGGUUUCUCCUGCCUAUAAUUAAG
rnacentral:lncRNA from 1 species